ACGCUGGCGGCGUGCCUAAUACAUGCAAGUCGAACGGUCUUUCUAUGGAAGCUUGCUUCCACUGAGAAGAUAGUGGCGAACGGGUGAGUAACACGUGGGUAACCUGCCCAUAAGAGGGGGAUAACAUCCGGAAACGGGUGCUAAUACCGCAUAGUUUUCUUGAUCGCAUGAUCGGGAAAGGAAAGACGGCCUUUGUGCUGUCGCUUAUGGAUGGACCCGCGGCGUAUUAGUUAGUUGGUGAGGUAACGGCUCACCAAGACGAUGAUACGUAGCCGACCUGAGAGGGUGAUCGGCCACAUUGGGACUGAGACACGGCCCAAACUCCUACGGGAGGCAGCAGUAGGGAAUCUUCCGCAGUGGACGAAAGUCUGACGGAGCAACGCCGCGUGAGUGAAGAAAGGUUUUCGGAUCGUAAAACUCUGUUGUCAGAGAAGAACAAGUUGGAGAGUAACUGCUCCAGCCUUGACGGUAUCUGACCAGAAAGCCACGGCUAACUACGUGCCAGCAGCCGC
rnacentral:rRNA from 1 species